rnacentral:ncRNA from 1 species
GGAGUGUGUAACAACUCACCUGCCGAAUCGACUAGCCCCGAAAAUGGAUAGCGCUGAAGCGAGUGACCGAUACCGGGCCAUUGUUGCAAGAUAAUUGGCAACAAUGAGUAGGAGGGCGUGGGGGUUGUGAAGAAGCUUGGACGUGAGUCUGAGUGAAACAGCUUCCAGUGCAGAUCUUGGUGGUAGUAGCAAGUAUUCAAUAAGAGAACAUUGAAGGCCGAAGUGGGGAAGGGUUCCAUGUGAACAGCACUUGGACAUGGGUUAGCCGAUCCUGAGAGACAGGUUAAAUUCCAUCGGAUUGGAGCUUUGGCUCUGUUUCUCGAAAGGGAAGCUGGUUAGUAUUCCAGCGCCGAGACGUGGAUAAUAUGUGGCAACACAAGUGAACUCGGACACGCCAUAGGGGACCCCAGGAAGCGUUGUCUUUUCUUUUUAACAGUUCGACUUACCCUGGAAUCAGAUCAUCUGGAGAUAGGGUUUUCGAACUGGAAUAGCACCUUGUCUAACAGGGUGUCUGGAGUGUUCUCGCUGGCCCUUGAAAAUCCGAGGGAUAGAUUUAUUCGCACUCUCGAUCGUACCCAUAACCGCAUCAGGUCUCCAAGGUUAGAAGCCUCUGGUCCGUAGGACAAAGUAGAUAAGGGAAGUCGGCAAAAUAGGUCCGUAACUUCGGGAAAAGGACUGGCUCUGAGGUUUGGUAUGUGGAACCUGGAUUAAUCGUUGGAGUCGAGCAGAGACUACUUGUUGCUCACGUGACUUGUGGACUCCUUGCUUGAUACCUUCAAUUGAUCCAGGCUGCUUCGGCGCUCUGCAUGCACUUAACAAACAGCUCAGAACUGGAGCGGACAAGGGAAUCCGACUGUUUAAUCAAAACAAAGCAUUGUGAUGGCCUCAAAAGUGUUGACACAAUGUGAUUUCUGCCCAGUGCUCUGAAUGUCAAAGUGAUGAAAUUCAAACAAGCGCGGGUAAACGGCGGGAGUAACUAUGACUCUCUUAAGUAGCCAAAUGCCUCGUCAUCUAACUAGUGACGCGCAUGAUGGAUUACGAGAUUCCCACUGUCCCUAUCUA